rnacentral:rRNA from 1 species
GAUGAACGCUGGCGGCGUGCCUAAUACAUGCAAGUCUUGCGAACAGACGAGGAUCUUGCUCCUCUCACGUUCGCGCCGGACGGUUGCGUAACACGUGGAUACCCUACCUUUAAGACUGGGAUACCUUCGGGAAACCUAAGCUCAUACCGGAUAAUAUAUUCACCCGCCUGGUUCAAUAGUGAAAGACGCUUUUGCUGUCCCUUAUAGAUGGUUACACGAUGCAUUGGCUAGUUGGUAAGGUAACGGCUUACCAAGUCAACGAUUCAUAGCCGACCUGAGAGAGUAAACGGACACACUGUAACAGAGACACCGUCCAGAAUCCUACGGAAAGCAGCAGUAUACAAUCUUCCGAAAUGGGCGAAAGCAAUACGGAACAACGCCGCGUAAGUUAUGAAAGUCAUCCGAUCUUAAAACUCUGUUAUUAGGGAAGAAAAAAUGUUUAAAUAACUAUACACAUAUUGAAGGUACCUAAUCAGAAAGCCAACGCUAACUACGUG